GGCGGACAGCAGCAGUUAAUGUGACUGAGAGAAACUUUGCAUCCGGCACCUAUCUCGAACGCAUUAUCGUGUCGACGACGAACAGGAGAACCUGCAUGCACUAGUCCAAGUUCGCCGCCGCCUGAUCCCUUCAAUUGGUCACGUCGUCGUUCACGUCCAGGCCCAGUACAGCUCUGCCGUUGACCGUAGCAAUAAGCAUCGUAGCGUAGGAUCAGGAUCGGAGUAAAGUAACCCGCGUA
rnacentral:lncRNA from 1 species